AAAGACCAGCUACAGACCAGUUACAAUAACCUGACUAAAGAGAGAGACCAGCUGCAGACCAGCGCCAACAACCUGACUAAAGAGAGAGACCAGCUACAGACUGAGAGAGAUGUUCUUAGCGGGUGGCUUAACAAUUGCAAACAAACCUGCCCUGAAGGCUGGCAGAAGUUUGAAUCAAGUUGGUACUUCCUGUCUACUGAGACUAGAACCUGGGAGGAGAGCAGACAGGACUGUCUGGAGAGAGGAGCAGACCUGGUGAUCACAAACAGUGAUAAGGAACAGACUUUUCUCUUCAACCUCAAGAAGAGAGUCUGGAUUGGUCUGAUUGACUCUGUUAAGGAGGGGACCUGGAAAUGGGUGGACGACACCCCACUGACCACAGGGUACUGGUAUGACCCACAGCCUGAUAAUGCAGGUUCUACUGGGGAGGAGGACUGUGUUGAGAUACACAAAGAUCAGCGUGCUCUAAAGGCAUGGAACGACUUGUCAUGUGGCAGCAAACUCAACUGGAUUUGUGAGAGAGCGUUUUAACAUCACCUUGAGGAGUGACGGACUCCAUCCUAGCUGGAGGGGUGCUCUCAUCUUAUCUACCAACAUAGACAGGGCUCUAACUCC